UACUGAGGGGGCAAGCGUUGUUCGGAAUUACUGGGCGUAAAGGGCGCGUAGGCGGCCUUCUAAGUCGAACGUGAAAUCCCCGGGCUCAACCCGGGAACUGCGUCCGAUACUGGAAGGCUUGAAUCCGGGAGAGGGAUGCGGAAUUCCAGGUGUAGCGGUGAAAUGCGUAGAUAUCUGGAGGAACACCGGUGGCGAAGGCGGCAUCCUGGACCGGCAUUGACGCUGAGGCGCGAAAGCCAGGGGAGCAAACGGG
rnacentral:rRNA from 1 species